GGGAAUCUUCCGCAUGGACGAAAGUCUGACGGAGCAACGCCGCGUGUAUGAUGAAGGUCUUCGGAUUGUAAAGUACUGUCUUUGGGGAGGAAUGACUGAUUUGAAAAUAUUGAGUCAGUAUGACGGUACCCAAGGAGGAAGCCCCGGCUAACUACGUGCCAGCAGCCGCGGUAAUAC
rnacentral:rRNA from 1 species